UACCAGCACCCCGAGUGGUCGGGACGUUUUAUUGGGCCUAAAGCAUCCGUAGCCGGUCCUGCAAGUCUUCCGUUAAAUCCAGCUGCUCAACAGAUGGGCUGCGGGAGAUACUACAGGGCUAGGAGGCGGGAGAGGCAAGCGGUACUUUAUGGGUAGGGGUAAAAUCCGCUGAUCCAUAGAAGACCACCAGUGGCGAAGGCGGCUUGCCAGAACGCGCUCGACGGUGAGGGAUGAAAGCUGGGGGAGCAAACCGG
rnacentral:rRNA from 1 species